GAUGAACGCUGGCGGCGUGCUUAACACAUGCAAGUCGAACGAUGAUGCCCAGCUUGCUGGGUGGAUUAGUGGCGAACGGGUGAGUAACACGUGAGUAACCUGCCCUUGACUCUGGGAUAAGCCUGGGAAACUGGGUCUAAUACCGGAUACGACCAUCUGGCGCAUGUCAUGGUGGUGGAAAGCUUUUGUGGUUUUGGAUGGACUCGCGGCCUAUCAGCUUGUUGGUGGGGUAAUGGCCUACCAAGGCGACGACGGGUAGCCGGCCUGAGAGGGUGACCGGCCACACUGGGACUGAGACACGGCCCAGACUCCUACGGGAGGCAGCAGUGGGGAAUAUUGCACAAUGGGCGCAAGCCUGAUGCAGCGACGCCGCGUGAGGGAUGACGGCCUUCGUGUUGUAAACCUCUUUCAGUAGGGAAGAAGCGAAAGUGACGGUACCUGCAGAAGAAGCGCCGGCUAACUACGUG
rnacentral:rRNA from 1 species